ACUAGAGGUUCUUCCUAUGUAACAGCAAUGCUCUUAUUGUUCUUUAGGAGCUAUAUAAGUGAGAAACUCCGGAUUUCUCCACAAGAAGAAGACUACACCUAUAAUUUAAAGGAGUGUGUCUGAGUUUCCUGCAACAUCAGGAGAGGGAGAGACAGACAUCAUGAUUCCUACCAAGAUGCUACUGCUCUUGCUGUCAAUGGCUUUGCUGGCCUUGGGCUCUGCUCAGGGCAUCGAUGAAGAUGAUGAAUUGUUGAAAGAAAACCCAGAGGAAUCACAAGUGAAACCUGAAGAAGGAUAUGGAGCGGAGUACAGCAAACCUGGCAAAGAUGGUCCAGGUGGCGCUCAGGGACCAGCAGGCCAACAAGUUCAAGGUAGUCAACAGCAUCCAGGAGCCCAAGGUGGUCCAAGAGGCCCACAGCAUCCAGCAGGCCAACAAGGCCCAGGUGGCCAGCAGCGUCCAGGACCCCAAGGUGAUCCAAGUGGUCCACAGCAUCCAGCAGGCCAACAAGGUCCAGAUGGCCAACAGCGUCCAGGAGCCCAAGGUGGUCCAAGUGGUCCACAGCAUGCACCAGGCCAACAGGUACCAGGUGGCCAACAGCAUCCAGGAUCCCAAGGUGAUCCAAGUGGCCCACAGGGUCCAGCAGGCCAACAGGGGCCAAAUGACAAACAGCAUCCAGGAGUCCAAGGUGGUCCAGGUGGCCCACAGCAUCCAGCAGGCCAACAAGGUCCAGAUGGGCAACAGCGUCCAGGAGCCCAAGGUGGUCCAAGUGGCCCACAGCAUCCAGCAGGCCAACAGGGGCCAGGUGGCCAACAUCGUCCAGGAUCCCAAGGUGGUCCAAGUGGCCCACAGGGUCCAGCAGGCCAACAAGGUCCAGGUGGCCAACAGCAUCCAGGAUCUCAAGGUGGUCCAAGUGGCCCACAGGGUCCAGCAGGCCAACAGGGCCCAGGUGGCCAACAGCGUCCAGGAUCCCAAGGUGGUCCAAGUGGCCCACAGGGUCCAGGAGGCCAACAGCGUCCAGGAUCCCAAGGUGGUCCAAGUGGCCCACAGGGCCCAAGUAGCCAACAGGGUGCAGGUGGCCAGCAUGGUGGACAGUGACAAGAAAAACCAAGUAAAGAGGACCUCCUGUGAUUUUCUAGGUAUUAAUUCCAUUCUUAUUCAAUAAUCUUCUGAAUUUCUUUUGAUAUUUCCUAAUUCUCUUUUCUUGUUUCUCUUUUGUCUUAGUUAAAUUUUCACUUCAAUCUCUCUUAAAAUUGUUGUUCAUGCUAUGACUCUCCUUGCCUUAAGCUAACCCUUAAAAUCUCUCCUCCUUUUACAAUCAAGUGUUCUUUCCUUCAAACAAUUUGUUUUAUUUUCAUGCUCAUUCUUAUAUUCGCCUAUAACUUUCCCAUUUCUACCUUCCCUGUUGUCCUCUUCUUCUCUCCUCUCUUCUCUUCCCUUUACUCUCUCCUGGCCUGUUCCUCUGACAUCCUACUUCUCUCCCUUAACAUGAUGCUUGUAGUGUCUUCUAGUACCCACUAGGAGAAACACUGACAUGGAUCAAUUUCAGGCCUAACGAAUAUUUCUGUCUAAAAUUCUUCUCUUUGUUUUAGAAAUUGAGAGCUCAACUGGUGACCAUGGACUUUUCAGUCGUGUCAUCAUGGCCUUUCCUUUCUCUGACUUCAAUUCAUCAAUAAAGUCAUC
rnacentral:lncRNA from 12 species